rnacentral:sRNA from 1 species
GAGACAAUCCUAGAGACUGAAGUACUUUAUUCAUCCACAAAAUAGAUGUAGCACAGGCAGCUGCAGUGCAAGCUCUGCCAGGUUGGGUAUGCUUCAACUCUCACUGAAGUCAAUGGGAGUCUUUACAUUAACUUUUACAGAAGUGAAAUUGAGCCCAUUGUCCCUCCAAUGUGCAUAAAU